AGUAUCAGUGGGACUUUGCACAUUAUGAUCAAUUUCCUUCAAUACAAUUUCUAAGAAAGUGAUUACAAGGCAGUUCAGGAGAGGCAGAGUUUGAUUCAGACAAACACUUUAUGUCCAUUUAUUAACGGAACAAGCAGAUCUCAGUCCUUGAAAUACAUAAACCAGUUUUUGACCUGUAUGAGCAACCAGCAAAGUCUGUGUGUGACCCACAUGAGCAAGAGCCAACAGACAUGAUGGAUAGGUAUGCUGAAAACUACUUUGGAAGAACAACUGAAAGCGAGACUGCAUUGUAAGACGUCAGACUCACCUGUCACCUGCCGUGCCUCAGCAAGGAACACGGACUCAUCAUAGUGUAAUGGUGUUUGGAGAUAACAAGCAGAUAAUGACGUAUGUCAGGCUUGUCUGUUGGAGGAAUUAACAUCUUAAUGUGCAACCAUUUGCCAAAA